rnacentral:misc_RNA from 1 species
AAAGUCGUAACAAGGUUUCCGUAGGUGAACCUGCGGAAGGAUCAUUACUGAGUAUGGGGGCCAAAGCCCCCGACUCCAACCCAAUGUCUACCAAUCCUAGUUGCUUCGGCGGGGCUACUACGGGCCUGGCCCCUAGUAGAUGGGGGGGAUUAUAACCCCCCAGGCCUCUGGCACCCGCCGGGGGGAACCAUAUCCAACUCGUAUCAAUAUAGUCUGAAGCUUUUGUAGUAAAUAAAAUAAAAACUUUCAACAACGGAUCUCUUGGUUCUG